GAUGAACGCUGGCGGCGGGCUUCCCUUAUGCAAGUCGAACGAAGCACUUUAUUUGAUUUCUUCGGAAUGAAAAUUUUGGGACUGAGGGGCGGACGGGGGAGUAACGCGGGGGUAACCUGCCUCAUACAGGGGGAUAACAGUUGGAAACGACUGCUAAUACCGCAUAAGCGCACAGGGCCGCAGGGCCUGGGGUGAAAAACUCCGGGGGUAUGAGAUGGACCCGCGUCUGAUUAGCCAGUUGGGGGGGAAACGGCCUACCAAAGCGACAAUCAGUACCCAACCUGAGAGGGGGACCGGCCACAUUGGGACUGAGACACGGCCCAAACUCCUACGGGAGGCAGCAGGGGGGAAUAUUGCACAAGGGGGGAAACCCUGAUGCACCGACCCCGCGGGAGCAAAAAAGUAUUUCGGUAUGUAAAGCUCUAUCAGCAGGAAAAAAGAAAUGACGGUCCCUGACUAAAAAGCACCGGCUAAAUACGUG
rnacentral:rRNA from 1 species